UUUUUGAGAGUUUGAUCCUGGCUCAGGACGAACGCUGGCGGCGUGCUUAACACAUGCAAGUCGAACGAUGAACCUCCUUCGGGAGGGGAUUAGUGGCGAACGGGUGAGUAACACGUGGGCAAUCUGCCCUUCACUCUGGGACAAGCCCUGGAAACGGGGUCUAAUACCGGAUAUGACACGGGGUCGCAUGAUCUCCGUGUGGAAAGCUCCGGCGGUGAAGGAUGAGCCCGCGGCCUAUCAGCUUGUUGGUGAGGUAGUGGCUCACCAAGGCGACGACGGGUAGCCGGCCUGAGAGGGCGACCGGCCACACUGGGACUGAGACACGGCCCAGACUCCUACGGGAGGCAGCAGUGGGGAAUAUUGCACAAUGGGCGAAAGCCUGAUGCAGCGACGCCGCGUGAGGGAUGACGGCCUUCGGGUUGUAAACCUCUUUCAGCAGGGAAGAAGCGAGAGUGACGGUACCUGCAGAAGAAGCGCCGGCUAACUACGUGCCAGCAGCCGCGGUAAUACGUAGGGCGCGAGCGUUGUCCGGAAUUAUUGGGCGUAAAGAGCUCGUAGGCGGCUUGUCACGUCGGAUGUGAAAGCCCGGGGCUUAACCCCGGGUCUGCAUUCGAUACGGGCAGGCUAGAGUUCGGUAGGGGAGAUCGGAAUUCCUGGUGUAGCGGUGAAAUGCGCAGAUAUCAGGAGGAACACCGGUGGCGAAGGCGGAUCUCUGGGCCGAUACUGACGCUGAGGAGCGAAAGCGUGGGGAGCGAACAGGAUUAGAUACCCUGGUAGUCCACGCCGUAAACGUUGGGAACUAGGUGUGGGCGACAUUCCACGUCGUCCGUGCCGCAGCUAACGCAUUAAGUUCCCCGCCUGGGGAGUACGGCCGCAAGGCUAAAACUCAAAGGAAUUGACGGGGGCCCGCACAAGCAGCGGAGCAUGUGGCUUAAUUCGACGCAACGCGAAGAACCUUACCAAGGCUUGACAUACACCGGAAAACCGUGGAGACACGGUCCCCCUUGUGGUCGGUGUACAGGUGGUGCAUGGCUGUCGUCAGCUCGUGUCGUGAGAUGUUGGGUUAAGUCCCGCAACGAGCGCAACCCUUGUUCUGUGUUGCCAGCAUGCCUUUCGGGGUGAUGGGGACUCACAGGAGACUGCCGGGGUCAACUCGGAGGAAGGUGGGGACGACGUCAAGUCAUCAUGCCCCUUAUGUCUUGGGCUGCACACGUGCUACAAUGGCCGGUACAAUGAGCUGCGAUACCGCGAGGUGGAGCGAAUCUCAAAAAGCCGGUCUCAGUUCGGAUUGGGGUCUGCAACUCGACCCCAUGAUGUUGGAGUUGCUAGUAAUCGCAGAUCAACACAGGGCGGUGAAUACGAUCACGAACCUUAUACGCACCACAGGAAACGUCACGAAAGUCGGUAACUCCCGAAAAAGCGGCCCAACCCCUAUUAGAUAGAAUAGUCGAAGGUAACCGGGU
rnacentral:rRNA from 1 species